GACGAACGCUGGCGGCGUGCCUAACACAUGCAAGUCGAACGGGACUCAGCCCUUCGGGACUGAGUUUAGUGGCGAACGGGUGAGUAACGCGUGAGGAACCUGCCUUUCAGUGGGGGACAACAGUUGGAAACGACUGCUAAUACCGCAUAAAACUUUCGAGCGGCAUCGUUUGAAAGUCAAAGAUUUAUUGCUGAAAGAUGGCCUCGCGUCUGAUUAGCUGGUUGGUGAGGUAACGGCCCACCAAGGCGACGAUCAGUAGCCGGUCUGAGAGGAUGAACGGCCACAUUGGGACUGAGAUACGGACCAGACUCCUACGGGAGGCAGCAGUGAGGAAUAUUGGUCAAUGGUCGGAAGACUGAACCAGCCAAGCCGCGUGAAGGAAGAAGGUGCUCGGCAUCGUAAACUUCUUUUGUCAGGGAACAAAGGGCGGUACGUGUACCGCUGUGAGUGUACCUGAGAAAAAGCAUCGGCUAACUCCGUG
rnacentral:rRNA from 1 species